GUUCAGUUAGCUCAGUUGGUUGAGCAUGGCCCUGACAGUGCCAAGGCCACAGGUUCGAUUCCCGUUCUGUCCA
rnacentral:tRNA from 1 species